rnacentral:sRNA from 1 species
UAGUCUUCUCUCUUUUUCUUAAGCAGUGAUAAACCUUUUAAUGAGAACAAAAAGGAAAUAAAUUGCUAACUCUGAAGGAACCAGUAAGAAAUACACUGAAGUAUGGUCUGUUGUUUUAGAAUAAUUUGUUAAAUGGACCAGAGUAAUACAGUGGAACAUGCAUCACCUUAUACCAUAUAGUAACUGAUUCUUUUAAGUUUACUUGAACAGAUUUCAGCCAGGAUAAAACAUUGCUCAAUUGUUUUCUUGAAUUUAUUCAACAAACAAUUGAAAAUAAUAUUUUAAAAGAUAUAAUCUCUUCAGAUCACAUCUUACAAUUCUUGAAUGAGAUCCAGUUUGUCCAUGCCUUGUAAGUAAGUUUAUAACCUACUAUGCUUUAGGGCCUCCUGCUACCUUAGGUUGACAUAUAUUUAAGAAAAAUAAUUUCAUUUCAAUAGUAGCAUAAACAUUAGAAAAAUAAAUUUGCUGGAAACAUGAAUGCAAUCUAAACCAAAUGUGAUUUUAAAAUUAUUUCUGCCGUUAAUUCCCUCCAUAUGUGUGAAUAAUUGAGUUGAUUUUAUAGUGAAAUACCUUAUGAGCCAUACUUAAGGGUUUCUGAGAGGGACUAUGAAGUUUUUCCUGGCUUAAAUUCAAUUAAGUUUUCAUUAUAGGGUCACUAUGACAUGAAAAGGAACCAGUAUGAACACUUUUAUACUUACUCCCUUCUAUUUUAAAAAUAACUUGAUUAUGGAUUUGUAUUCUGGCAUUGGUUUUUGAACCUUUGUGCUUUCAUUCUUUCUAGUCUGUUUAAAAAUCACUGGAGAGUUUAAGAUGGCAGCUGACUAAAAUAGGCCUUUGAGGUCUUUUGGUCUUCUAAAGGAAGAAGGCCAAAUUUUGGGCCCAGUUUCUUAUUUUAAGGAUGUUUUCAAAAUGUACAGUGGCUAAAGUCUUGUAAGCAGUAAUUUUGUGUUUAUGAUGGCUGUCUUCAAGUUUGGGGGGAAAUAAUGGCAAAACAAAAAAUCACAUUUGAGUAGUUCUUAGAGCAAUUCCCAGAGAUGUAUUUCUUACCUGGCCUCUCUUCUCUACCCUGUAUCUUUGCAUUAUUUAAUACUUGGAAAAACCCACAUAGCAUUAAAAACAAAGUACUACUGAACAAAGUGAUAAAUACAUUUUCUUAAAUCUUUCUUUUCUAACCACAGGAACAUUUAAACUUACAAUAGAAUUCACUGAAGAAUAUCCAAAUAAACCACCUACAGUUAGAUUUGUCUCUAAGAUGUUCCAUCCAAAUGUCUACGCAGAUGGUAGUAUAUGUCUGGAUAUACUUCAGAACCGUUGGAGUCCAACCUAUGAUGUGUCUUCCAUUCUAACAUCCAUACAGUCUCUAUUGGAUGAACCCAAUCCCAAUAGUCCAGCAAACAGCCAGGCUGCUCAGCUGUACCAGGAGAACAAACGGGAAUAUGAAAAGCGUGUUUCUGCAAUAGUAGAACAAAGCUGGCGCGAUUGUUGACCCCGGGUACAGUUUAAAGAAACUGGCCAUAAGAAAAAUAUAUAUUGAUGUGUUUGUCACCACCCUACUCAUGUCAUUACAUUUACUUUAUUAAAAGCAAAAUAGCUGUUGUGCUGUUUCCAUCUUCCUUGCCAAGUUUUCCUACCCCUUCUCCCCUCUCCUUAAACAUCAGAAAACACCCUCUAUGAAAUCAAAUGUACUGUACCUGGGUUACUUGCAAAAAUUACUAAUGCUUCAGUUUUUCUGUUGUAUUUCAUUUCCAGUUUUCAGGCAGUUAUUUUUAUUAUUGUACUUUUAAGCUUUUAAGAUGAAUUGUUAUACAAGAGGUGCUUAUGCUUAGCUUGAUGACUAGGAUGUUGUUUUUUAACAAAAUGAUUGCUGAAGUGUUUCAUCCUGGCUGGUCCUUCACUUGUGUUGGAUUUAGAAGUGAAUGUGUUUGGAAUAUGGCCUACAGAGAAUAGAAACAAAUCCAUGUAAACAAUUUUGAAGGAGGGAUGGGAGCUAAAAAUCCUGUGAUACUAAGAUCUCAGUCAUAUGAAUUACAAGAUAGUAUUUACUGGCAAGGAGAAAGUUGAAGGACUCAGCUAAAGGAGUACAGCAAUUGUAGUAACUGACACAUCCUCUCUUUGCAAGCUGCUGACUGGGCACACUCAUGCUAAGUUUCAGAAUUAUUGGUCUUCUGGGUUUUUGCUUUUUAAAAGAGGCGUGGGAGCAGAGGAAUGGAAACAAUCAUGAGUUUUUGAGCUAGGGAAAGUUGGAGAUCCUUUAAUCUUUUUAAAGGAUCAGUGCUGCCCUAGGUGAAUAAACUCAAUUGUCUAUCUUUAUUUUAGAGUUUUAAUGAAUUCAAGGAAGGGAGCAUAGCAUAUCUGUGGCAAACUGUUUUCCACUCAAAUCCUGAGUUAUUGCUGCAUGCUUUAAUUUCUUCCCUUUCAGCAUCUGAGAACCUUAAAGCCAAUGUCUGCAAUCUUUUUUUGGAUAUUUAUACUUUUAGAUAUAUAGUACCUUUAAGUAGCAGUAUGGGACAAGGCUUGUAAAUGUUUUAUCUAAUGUUCUAUUGUCACCUUUUAUGCAUUUAUCACUUCCAAAUCUAACUUUGCACAAGUAACCCAUGUAAAAAAAAUGUACAUUUUUCAAAAGUUGUAAAUAAAAAUAACCUUAAAA